rnacentral:rRNA from 1 species
CCUACGGGAGGCAGCAGUGAGGAAUAUUGGUCAAUGGGCGCGAGCCUGAACCAGCCAAGUAGCGUGAAGGAUGACUGCCCUACGGGUUGUAAACUUCUGUUAUAAAGGAAUAAAGUGAGGCACGUGUGCCGUGUUGUAUGGACUUUAUGAAUAAGGAUCGGCUAACUCCGUGCCAGCAGCCGCGGUAAUACGGAGGAUCCGAGCGUUAUCCGGCUUUAUUGGGUUUAAAGGGAGCGUAGUUGGGUUGGUAAGUCAGUUGUGCACGUUUGCGGCUCAACCGUAAAAUUGCCAUUGAUACUGGCAGCCUUGCGUACAGUUGCGGUAGGCGGCCUUCUUGUUGUAGCGCU